CGACGUCUCAGGGCCUCGAUAAAGUGCGCGCACGCACAGCGAGUGCCGGAGGCCGCGUUAGUGAGAAGAGCACAUGGAUACAUUUGUGAGAGAAAAACUCGUCGAAUGCAGACUUAUCGAGACGUCUAACCGUUGGAACAAACUUGGAAUUCCUUAACAGAGCAGAGUCCACGAAACCCCAUCCAUUUGUCAUGGCAAUUUGGAAAAUGCCAGCAGAUCUAUCAGACAUUGAUCAUAAUAAAUGGACAGGUCACCUUAGCCACCCGGAUCCAGUCUGUAUCCAGAUCAGAUGGUGGAUCAGCACCUAGAGAUGACCUCUACAGCCCUGAAUGUCAGUGGAGACCAGGGCAAUUAGAUGAGCCCCAGAGACAGAUCCCCAGUAAAGACCUUGUCUCCUAGAUGGACAUCGGCACAAGACAUUGGGAACCAGAUGAGUCCACUGCAC
ensembl:lncRNA